rnacentral:rRNA from 1 species
UGGGGAAUAUUGCGCAAUGGGCGAAAGCCUGACGCAGCGACGCCGCGUGAGGGAUGAAGGUCCUCGGAUCGUAAACCUCUGUCAGGGGGGAAGAAGCGCCUGUGAGCAAAUAGUUCAUGGGUUUGACGGUACCCCCAAAGGAAGCACCGGCUAACUCCGUGCCAGCAGCCGCGGUAAUACGGAGGGUGCGAGCGUUAAUCGGAAUCACUGGGCGUAAAGCGCACGUAGGUGGUGUGGUAAGUCGGGGGUGAAAUCCCACAGCUCAACUGUGGAACUGCCUUCGAUACUGUCAUGCUUGAGUAUCGGAGAGGGUGGCGGAAUUCCAGGUGUAGCGGUGGAAUGCGUAGAUAUCGGGAGGAACACCAGUGGCGAAGGCGACCUACUGGGCACCAACUGACGCUGAGGCUCGAAAGCAUGGGGUAGCAAACAGGAUUAGAUACC